rnacentral:rRNA from 1 species
CUACGGGCGGCAGCAGUGGGGAAUAUUGCACAGUGGAGGAAACUCUGAUGCAGCAACGCCGCGUGGAGGAUGACACUUUUCGGAGCGUAAACUCCUUUUAUAUAGGAAGAAGAUGACGGUACUAUAUGAAUAAGCGCCGGCUAACUCCGUGCCAGCAGCCGCGGUAAUACGGAGGGCGCAAGCGUUACUCGGAAUCACUGGGCGUAAAGAGCGUGUAGGCGGAUUAAAAAGUCAGAAGUGAAAUCCUAUAGCUUAACUAUAGAACUGCUUCUGAAACUCUUAAUCUAGAAUAUGGGAGAGGUAGAUGGAAUUUCUGGUGUAGGGGUAAAAUCCGUAGAGAUCAGAAGGAAUACCGAUUGCGAAGGCGAUCUACUAGAACAUUAUUGACGCUGAGACGCGAAAGCGUGGGGAGCAAACAGGAUUAGAUACCCCCGUAGUC